rnacentral:rRNA from 1 species
ACAAAACUUUCAACAACGGAUCUCUUGGUUCUCGCAUCGAUGAAGAGCGCAGCGAAAUGCGAUACCUAGUGUGAAUUGCAGCCAUCGUGAAUCAUCGAGUUCUUGAACGCACAUUGCGCCCCUCGGCAUUCCGGGGGGCAUGCCUGUUUGAGCGUCGUU